rnacentral:sRNA from 1 species
UUCCUAUCUGACCUUGUCUACCAAACCCACUGUUUCCUCCGCCGUUCAAUAUACCUGGCUGGCGAGUCAAGAUUUGCUCCUUCACUCCAGCUUUGCCGCCAGUGUCCUUACUCUUUACUGGGACAUUUUGAAGGACACCAAUGCAGCGCACCACAUUAGGACGAAUUUACCUAUCAACGUAUGGAAGGUUGGGAAAAAAGUCCUUCUGGAGCUUUUGUCAUCUGAACUACACUUUCACUCUUCUCCAUGACUAAUUGAUGGUUGUAUUUCCAUGAUGUCGACGGGCUCGGGCGCAGGACCAAGACACUUAGAUUUUGAACAUGACCUCGGCGCUUAACAUGAACUCCAGUGGGCAGGGCUAUCGUUGGACCGCUCCAAGUUGUUGCAGCUAGCUGGGACAAGCCGUGUCAAUCCUCUGCGUUACGUCGAUUUCUUUUUUUGUCCAC